UACAGAGGGGGCAAGCGUUGUUCGGAAUUACUGGGCGUAAAGGGCGCGUAGGCGGCCUUCUAAGUCGAACGUGAAAUCCCCGGGCUCAACCCGGGAACUGCGUCCGAUACUGGAAGGCUUGAAUCCGGGAGAGGGAUGCGGAAUUCCAGGUGUAGCGGUGAAAUGCGUAGAUAUCUGGAGGAACACCAAUGGCGAAGGCAGCUCGCUGGGACGGUACUGACGCUGAGGCGCGAAAGCGUGGGGAGCGAACAGG
rnacentral:rRNA from 1 species